rnacentral:lncRNA from 1 species
CCACUCCCCAAAUUCUUGCUUGAGAAAUGGCUCUUUGCUAAGAAGCUAUUUUAGUUUUUUUUACCAUUUUGAUUGAAAUCAAUCACAGUAAGACAGAACACCGAGGCGACUACCUGUGGAUAUAACAGAGAAAGGCCAACCGAGCGCGGAGGAAGUUCCUGGACUGGAGGAAGAAGCGACUGCAGGAUAAACUCUCAGAAACACAGAAGAAACUGGAUUUGGCAUGAAAGUGAGGUAAAGGCUGUGUCGUCACCAAAAUAAAUGUUCAGUUGUCAGAUCAUGGACUUGCAAUAAAGUGAUUGGGAUCGUUGUCACAACCAGCAGAACUGAAGCAAGAUACAAAGACAAGUUUCUGAACAUGUUUUGUGAUUUGGUGACAGUGUUUCGCUGGGUCCUUCUUCUCAAAUGUGCUCCAGUCAUCUUCCAGACUACUGCUGUUUUUACGUUUUAAUAAAAGUAUGUGUUUUCUUA